UGGGGAAUAUUGGACAAUGGGGGCAACCCUGAUCCAGCAAUGCCGCGUGUGUGAAGAAGGUCUUCGGAUUGUAAAGCACUUUCGACGGGGGCGAUGAUGACGGUACCCGUAGAAGAAGCCCCGGCUAACUUCGUGCCAGCAGCCGCGGUAAUACGAAGGGGGCUAGCGUUGCUCGGAAUGACUGGGCGUAAAGGGCGUGUAGGCGGUUUACACAGUCAGAUGUGAAAUCCCCGGGCUUAACCUGGGAGCUGCAUUUGAUACGUGUAGACUAGAGUGUGAGAGAGGGUUGUGGAAUUCCCAGUGUAGAGGUGAAAUUCGUAGAUAUUGGGAAGAACACCGGUGGCGAAGGCGGCAACCUGGCUCAUGACUGACGCUGAGGCGCGAAAGCGUGGGGAGCAAACAGGAUUAGAUACCCUGGUAGUCCACGCUGUAAACGAUGUGUGCUAGAUGUUGGGUAACUUUGUUAUUCAGUGUCGCAGUUAACGCGUUAAGCACACCGCCUGGGGAGUACGGCCGCAAGGUUGAAAC
rnacentral:rRNA from 1 species